UCCCUAGUGCUCCAGUGGUUAGGACUCUGUACUUUCACUACUGUGGCCCAAGUUCAAUCCCUGGUUAGUGAA
rnacentral:tRNA from 1 species